rnacentral:rRNA from 1 species
CCACUAAGCAUCAGUUUGAAUCGAACCGUACCGCAAACCGACACAGGUGGGCAGGAUGAGAAUUCUAAGGCGCUUGAGAGAACUCGGGAGAAGGAACUCGGCAAAUUGAUACCGUAACUUCGGGAGAAGGUAUGCCCUCUAAGGUUAAGGACUUGCUCCGUAAGCCCCGGAGGGUCGCAGAGAAUAGGUGGCUGCGACUGUUUAUUAAAAACACAGCACUCUGCCAACACGAAAGUGGACGUAUAGGGUGUG